rnacentral:rRNA from 1 species
UACGUAGGGGCAAGCGUUGUCCGGAAUCAUUGGGCGUAAAGGGUGCGUAGGCGGCGCGGUAAGUCGGGUGUGAAAUCUCGGAGCUUAACUCCGAAACUGCAUUCGAUACUGCCGUGCUUGAGGACUGGAGAGGAGACUGGAAUUUACGGUGUAGCGGUGAAAUGCGUAGAUAUCGUAAGGAAGACCAGUGGCGAAGGCGGGUCUCUGGACAGUUCCUGACGCUGAGGCACGAAGGUCAGGGGAGCAAACGGG